rnacentral:rRNA from 1 species
UACGGAGGGUGCGAGCGUUGUCCGGAAUUACUGGGCGGAAAGGGCGCGUAGGCGGCCGUGUAAGUCACUUGUGAAAGCCCGGGGCUCAACUCCGGGGCUGCAGGUGAGACUGCGUGGCUAGAGCACGGUAGAGGCGAGUGGAAUUCCCGGUGUAGCGGUGGAAUGCGUAGAUAUCGGGAAGAACACCGGUGGCGAAGGCGGCUCGCGGGGCCGUUGCUGACGCUGAGGCGCGAAAGCGUGGGGAGCAAACAGG